GAGGGACUUAUUUGUAUUUUUUAAUCUUCUACUUUUAAAAAAAAUAUUAUUACAAAAAAAAAAUCCCCUUUUCUCCUUCCUCUCUCCCCGAUGCCACCUCCUUUCCGCCGUAUGUCCCCUCCUUCCAGCCGGCCCAAACUCCUUCUUCUUCCCCCUCCCUUGCCGGUGUCACCUCCUUCUUUUUCUUUCUUGCUGCUGACGACAAGUUGGAGGAAGGAAAGCUCCUUCCUUGCUGCCAACGCAAGAACAGCCGCCUACCGUCACUCUUUUGCCAGUCCGACAUCAGAAUCGUCCUCCCCACUGUCGAAAACCCUAAGCCAGCUCCUCCACGUUGUUUAUCCUCCACCGACAGCCUUGGGAGAAUCUCACCAGAACAACUCCCUUCUCAUAACAAUCUAGCCGUUUCCGGUAAGGGCUAGGCAGUGAUUUUAGUGUUUUUGAACUCCCCCAACUCAAGCUUCGCGUAGCCAUCUACGAAUUUGAAAUCCGACCCUGUUGGAGGUGCUGGAUGUUUUAUGGCGCGCACAAUUUUAGAUUUCAACUGGGUAUAAUAUUAUUUAAUUUUGAAAAAUUAUUUAAAAUUAUUAUGAAAUAUUUAGUGUAUUAAUUAUUAGUUAUUAAUAAUUAAUUAAAUUAUUUAAUUAAUUAGUAGCAUGAUCCUAGAAAUACUACAGAUUAAUUAUUAAGAAAAUUUCUAUCUUGUUGUGUAAAUUGGGGAUGUGAUUUAAUUAAAUUAAUGCAUGAAAAAUAUUUGUGGGAUGUAUCGUGAAAUAAUAUUAUUUUGCAAGACUGUUAAUUAUGGUAUUGUGAUUUGGAUUGUGUUGUGGAGUCAAGGAAAAAUAAUGCAGUUUUGGUGGCUCGACUCCUGUUAAAUAAUUGUGAAAAAAUUGAAGUGUUUCCGGUAGGUUCUGGACCUGUUAUACGGGGGGUAAACGUCCAUAUUUUAGAGAAGGUUUCGCCGAAUUUUUGGUAGAAUUUCCGAUUCAUAAUUUCUUAGGCAGUCUAAUUGAUAGAUCAUAAAUAGUUAUAUAUAUUGUGUUUAAUUUCAUUAUAUUUUGAUUAAAUAUUAUGCUUAAUUGUAAAAAUUGUGUUUGUUCUAAUCUAGAUGGUGAAAUAUCAAGGAUUGAGUGAAAUUCAACUUAAAGACAUGUUUUAA
rnacentral:lncRNA from 1 species